AAAUUUUCAUUUUAGUUUUACAUGUUCUUGCCACUACUAGAAAACUAGGUAUCAGCGACGGACAUUUCCGUCGGAAAUCCGUCGCUAAAGGAUUAGCAACGGAAACUGGCCGUCGAAAAAAUCUUGCUCGCUAAUGGUCAACGACAGAUUUAGCGACGGAUCACUUACGGAUUCAGUUGUCGCAAAAUGAUCCAAAAUUUUGUGAAUUCUAUCGCAAAUCCGUUGCUAAUGAUGGGUAAAUGAGUAGUUUUUAUGUUUCUAAUAUUACUGCUGAAUCGGUCGAUAACCAAAAUUCACAAAUGAAAUUCAAAUUUAUACCCCAAAACAUUACAUUGACAUCCCACUACCAAAAUAAUGAUUAAAUUCGACUUACAAAAUAAUCAUUCAUAUUCAAUUUCUUAUUUCCUAAACCUAUUAACAAAAAUCAAAAGUUCCAAAGUCUAGUUAAGUGGUUAAGUUGUUUCCUUGAUCUUUAGGAGUAAGUUACACCUCCUGGCGAUUUCACUACUAGAAACUAGGACCUCGCAUUCGUCAAAUAGUUCCUCUUACUUCCUUACAAACAUGAUUGAGAUAACCUACAAAUAUGAAACCUAAUCCAUAAAUAAAUAAAUGGAAGCAUAAUUCUAUAAUACUUAUGGUUAUUUUUGCUUUUUCUUAUUUAUACAACAUUACUGAAAUUAAUUUCCAUUAAAAAAGUUAAAAAGCAUGCAACUGCCUACCUGCAUUAACUUCACAGAAAGGUUUGUUUUAGUUGUUUCACUAUUUGCAAAGAACAUGCCUGGAAAUGGAAUGGAAUGAAUUAUACAUUAUGCUUUCAUCUAUGAAAUAUAUGUCAUCUACAACCACAUAUUUUGCCAAGUUUUUUAUGUACAACACAAGAAUAAGACUUACUACAUUAUAAUUUUACAAAAAGUAAUGCAAACUUACAAUAAGUGUAAAUCUUAAUUACUCUAUAAAGGUAAGAAUUACCAUGUACCUUACUACAUCCAACCUUUUCCUAAAAAGUAUCAAGUAUUUGUGAACAUGAAAUUUAAUUACCUCAGCUAAAGACUCGAACACUAAUUCACCACUAGAAAGAUCUGCAACAGUACUGGAGUUUGUACACACACAAAUUCAUGCAUUAGAGUAUACACACAUAGAGAUAUAUAUAAAUCAACUAAUUUAGUUAAGAACCUUCCACUCCCAUUCUUGAACCUUCCUCACAAACAUCAAACAAAACAUGCACCAACCAAAACGAACCAAAAAACUGAAAAAAACUAUCUAAAUAACAAAUAUCAUAAAUAUUUAUUUUGUGUAAUCAGACCAAUUUAGAAAGAAAAAACAGAACAACUUUUGUUUCUACGAAAUAAAAACACACAGUUAGAUAGAUAUAGAGGAAAACCUUAGUGAGGAAUUAAGAUUUUUGUGAGAAAGGUUGAGACGGUGGUUCAUGGGAUUUCAGGCUCGGCGGUGAUGAAGUGGUCAAAAGGAAUCAGAUGCAGUGGUCCUACUCUCGUCUUCAUGUUUCUCUCUGUCCUUUGCUUCUUCCCAUAUCUAAAAGUCGGAAUAGAAGAAAAGAAGCCACAUACGAACUGAAGAAGAUGAGCCAGCACAUUAGCUACAGGAAAGAAGCCAAAGACAGAAACUUACUUGGGUUAAAUUUCAUCGACAGGAAGGGUCGUCAUGAUAUCGAGGGUCUUGGCUAGGGUUUCCUUCUGUUGGAAUCGAGUUUUAGGAACAUAAAGAAGACGACUAUUAGUAUCGAUUUGGGAUGAGUGCCGAUUUGCAAGACGAGUGUCGAUUUGGGCUUUGGAUUUCAGAAACAAGCAUGAGAGAUAACUAGUGAAUGUCGAUUUAGGAGGGAGAAUGGGGGGAAAUGAAAAUAAUUGGGAUGAGGAGCGGGGGAAAUGAAAUAUUUGGGAGGGCUUAACAAAAAUUAGUGACCGAAAUAUUUGUGAGUUUCUGAUUCCGUCAGUAAUCCCUUUCUAAUCCCUCGCUAACAUGCUAAAAUUUACACCUUAUCUACAAAAAUGAUUUUCGUGGCAUAUCCCUUGUAAAUCAGUCACUAAUUAGCUAGGGAUUUUUUCUGUCGCUGAUGCCUAGUUUUCU
rnacentral:lncRNA from 1 species